rnacentral:lncRNA from 1 species
CCCUCCGCUGGGCCCGGUCGGAGGCAGCGAGGCGCUGUGCGAGGCGCAGGGGUCAGCGCGCCCCUGUCCGCGAGGAGGGCAGAGGGGGAGCCGCCGGGACCCCGCCUGAGAUCCCGCUCCCGGGAACACUGGAAACGGCGCCGUAGGAGCCAGGCUGAUAAGUUCUCCCUGCCACUGCAUUCCCUAGAGCCGUGGUGGAUACGCAGCAAGUAUUUCUGGGACGGAAAACUGAAGGAAUCCGUUAGGAGUUUGCCGAGAGGAAAGGGCGUUGUUACGGGGCGGUUGAGCCAGGUGCGAGGGACGCAGGUGGUGCUGACCAGGAUUCCUCCGUGAGGAGAAAUGAGAGUUUGUGGAAAUUAAUACUUAAAUAGGUAAGCAUCCCUGAUUCCUGAUGUGGAAACCAGCCCACGGCAAGCUUUAACAUCACCGGCGCUUUGGAAAGGACACUAGCUUUCUAAUUAACCUUCACUGGGGAUCCCAUCUAGGGUGACGUCACCGACGCCUGUGUGGGGUAGAGCACGUCAGAGUUAAGGUUCCAGCCAGAAGCAGAGCUUCGCAUGAGAUGACAGACUUUCUACCGCCUCGCUCUGAAUCCUGAGACAUUAUCAUGAGGAAUAUCUACACUUUGCAGAAUUUUGACCAAGAGAAGUUGACUUAUCAUUUCUUCUGCACAUUCCAAGCUUUUGGCUCAUCUCACCGUCUCAUUGGCUGCCAGUGACUCUGACGUGUCACACUGGUCCAGCUGGGGGAGCCAUACUGAUAUUAAAACUUAAAGCACUGGAAGAGAAUUCUCCCAAGGGAAAGUUUCCGAGGAAUUACUGUUCAACUAGUCUCUGUCAUCCCUCUGUAACCCCAAAAUGAAAACAAUAAUUUAAAAGCUUAUGUUGUCCCCAGCCAAAUAACCACAAUCUGCUCCCAAUGUAAGGUUCUGUAAUUACAUUAUUUUGAAGAAAUUCAAUAAAAUCUAUCCUACGGUACUGUUUUUGUAUUUUGCUAUAUUAAGCCAUUCCAGAUGGCGACUGAACAACAUACCUUUGAAGAGCCUUUUAUUUAUUUUCUCUAGUCUAAUAGUAGCAUUUCACAGCUUUUGCAACGUUUUAAGUUGCUGCCUGCUUUUGGCACCUUACCCAG